AACCAUAGAAACCUGCGGAGUACCUGCGGAGGGAUCAUUACAGAGUUGCAAAACUCCCUAAACCAUUGUGAACGUUACCUAAACCGUUGCUUCGGCGGGCGGCCCGGGUCCUUCCCGGCGCCCCUCGGCCCUCGCGGGCGCCCGCCGGAGGUAAACCAAACUAUUGCAUUGUAUGGCCUCUCUGAGUCUUCUGUACUGAAUAAGUCAAAACUUUCAACAAUGGAUCUCAGAUCGGAAGAG
rnacentral:misc_RNA from 1 species